ensembl:snRNA U4 U4 spliceosomal RNA
AGCUGUGCGCAGUGGCAGUAUCGUAGCCAAUGAGGUUUAUCAGUGGCGCGAUUAUUGCUAAUUGAAGACUUAUAUACUGUGGGAACCCUGACAUUUUCUGAAUAAACAAAGAGGAG